AUCUUAGUAUAAAUACACGAUUCUCUCAAUUAAAAUAAUUGGUUGCAAUUAAGAACAAUGAUUUAUGCUGCGAUUUGUUUACUUGUGGUUCUUUGUGGAAAUGGUUUAGACGCAUAUCCAGGUUAUGUGAAUCAAGGAGUUGAUAUCCCUUGCAGAGACAAUUCAGAAUGCUCAGUACUUUGUUCUUGGAUAAAUCACGUGGAAACUGCCGGGAAAUGUGCUAGUAACGUAUGUCUCUGCGAGACGACUCCAUUGUUAGAUGUUGGCAGUAGACCUUAUCCUCCUAAUCGAAGAAUGAAUUCGGAACCAAAAUUUAAAUGUUCGAAAACGUGGGAAGAUUGAAUGUAAAAAUAAUUUGAAAAUGGAAAAAAUAAUGCUAUAUUAUGCCAUUGAAGCUAAUGUUUUCAUUAGUUAAUUAAAAACAGUUUAUAAAACAUUUUGGUUUUAUUGUUCGAAUAAAAUGAAAUAUAUAUUGU